rnacentral:rRNA from 1 species
AUGAACGCUAGCUACAGGCUUAACACAUGCAAGUCGAGGGGCAGCAUGAACUUAGCUUGCUAAGUUUGAUGGCGACCGGCGCACGGGUGAGUAACACGUAUCCAACCUGCCGAUGACUCGGGGAUAGCCUUUCGAAAGAAAGAUUAAUACCCGAUGGCAUAGUUCUUUCGCAUGGUAGAACUAUUAAAGAAUUUCGGUCAUCGAUGGGGAUGCGUUCCAUUAGGUUGUUGGCGGGGUAACGGCCCACCAAGCCUUCGAUGGAUAGGGGUUCUGAGAGGAAGGUCCCCCACAUUGGAACUGAGACACGGUCCAAACUCCUACGGGAGGCAGCAGUGAGGAAUAUUGGUCAAUGGACGAGAGUCUGAACCAGCCAAGUAGCGUGAAGGAUGACUGCCCUAUGGGUUGUAAACUUCUUUUAUACGGGAAUAAAGUGAGGCACGCGUGCCUUUUUGUAUGUACCGUAUGAAUAAGGAUCGGCUAACUCCGUGCCAGCAGCCGCGGUAAUACGGAGGAUCCGAGCGUUAUCCGGAUUUAUUGGGUUUAAAGGGAGCGUAGGCGGACGCUUAAGUCAGUUGUGAAAGUUUGCGGCUCAACCGUAAAAUUGCAGUUGAUACUGGGUGUCUUGAGUACAGUAGAGGCAGGCGGAAUUCGUGGUGUAGCGGUGAAAUGCUUAGAUAUCACGAAGAACUCCGAUUGCGAAGGCAGCCUGCUGGACUGUAACUGACGCUGAUGCUCGAAAGUGUGGGUAUCAAACAGGAUUAGAUACCCUGGUAGUCCACACAGUAAACGAUGAAUACUCGCUGUUUGCGAUAUACAGUAAGCGGCCAAGCGAAAGCGUUAAGUAUUCCACCUGGGGAGUACGCCGGCAACGGUGAAACUCAAAGGAAUUGACGGGGGCCCGCACAAGCGGUGGAGUAUGUGGUUUAAUUCGACGCAACGCGAAGAACCUUACCAAGGCUUGACAUAUACAGGAAUAACUAAGAAAUUAGUUAGCUCUUCGGAGUCUGUAUGCAGGUGGUGCAUGGUUGUCGUCAGCUCGUGUCGUGAGAUGUUAGGUUAAGUCCUGCAACGAGCGCAACCCCUGUGAUUAGUUGCCAACAGGUUAAGCUGGGAACUCUAAUCAGACUGCCGGUGAUAAAUCGGAGGAAGGUGGGGACGACGUCAAAUCAUCAUGCCCUUUAUGUCCUGGGCUACACACGUACUACAAUGGCUAUAACAAAGAGAAGCGAGACCGCGAGGUGGAGCAAAACUCAAAAAAGUAGUCUCAGUUCGGAUUGAAGGCUGAAAUUCGCCUUCAUGAAGCCGGAAUUGCUAGUAAUGGCAGGUCAGCAUACUGCCGUGAAUACGUUCCCGGGCCUUGUACACACCGCCCGUCACACCAUGAGAGUUGGGAAUACCCGAAGCCUGUAAGCUAACGCAAGAGGCAGCAGUCGAAGGUAGAAUCAAUGAUUGGGGUG